AUGCGGGCUUGCCAAAUUAGGUCCAAAGUGGACAAUAUCGUACUAAUCGGACAAUAUAGAGUUGGACACGGGAUUUCACAAUCUCAACAUUCAAACGUGAUUCCGUAAUCACUAGUGAGAUAAGAACAAUCAUCCGAUUUGAUUUUCCUGGCCCGUAUCGAAACUGGUCAACUACACCGCAACAUGUGAAAGAGCGAUGGUGGUUCACAUUCAAGAGCAAAUUCUUUUGGAAUCACUUGAUUGAAUCCGAGGUGCGUAAGAUGUUUUGCAAAUGUGCUGCGACUAAACUGAUCGAUAUGAUCAGCCGAGUAAAAGAAAGAGGUAAGCAGCCAUAUUGGAUCCUUGAUGAUUACUACAAAGACUUGGUUGCCUACUGGGGAACAGAUAAAGCUAAGGAAAAAAGUAAAAAAGCGUCUAAGAGUCGAAUGUCAGAUCGAUGGGACCUCAUAAACACCGAGCUGGAUCACGUUCAUAUGCUAGGGUUGCCGAUAUAUUGGUAAGACUUGUUUUCAUAUGUACUACUUUAAAUAUUAUUUUCUAACACUUCUCCUUUGUAGAAAAAAAAGAACGGAGACGCAUCUUACAUUGAUGUUCUUCGUGAGAGACACACAAGAAAUCAGACGGGUCAUUUGUGGAUGAAAGGGCAAGGCUAAUUAGUGAAGGAUUUGAAAAAAAUGUAGCUGAUCAUAUGCUUGAAGAUGAUAUCCUAAUCACAGAAGAGCUAACUUCUGAGAAGAAGAAUCAAAUGUAUUUGAAGUUGGUUGAUUCAACACAAGGUCGUGUGUUUGGUCUUGGAGCUCUUCUUAGUGAGG